GGGGAGGCAGCUGUUAACGUGUGUGUGUGUUGUACAGGAUGCCUUUCAUUCCAGCUGACCCAGAGGGAAUUAGCAUCUCAUGACCCUGAUCCAGUGUCUCACAAGAGCUAGAUUCUUCAUCAUGUAAUGUGUUCACUGCUUAUGACGUGCUUUCUGUGACGGUGUGCCCAGAGGCUUUCGUCCUCCCCAGAUGCCACUCAGUGUCAACCAUCAAGACACCUAUUUUGAGAGAGAUCAAGCAAAGAGACUGUACCUUGGAAGGCUGUCAGGGCCCAAUGGUGAUUACAGGGACUCUGUUACCAAGCACCGAACGCUUUGCUGUUCUCCCUGCUACAUAGGUAAGGGUUGUAUGCAGGGUUGGGGUGGGGAAGCAGGAACUUUACAUGACUCUUCCAAAGUCACCCCACGUAAGCAAGGGAGAGAGGGGAAUCAAUAUGGACUGCCGCUAGACUGUCAGACCCAAUUCACCCAACGUGUAUCAAUUUAAAGCCAUAAAAUCUGGGUAAGAGAAGAGUUUGCCAAAAUGACAGGCUGGGUUUUUUUAAUCUUCUAUAUCGUAUUUCCUGGCCCGACUCCUCCAAGAACUGUCCCUGUUCUGAGCUUCCGUAUCCUAGAAGGAAAUCCACCUGCCAGAAAGACAGGCCUUCACCCAGGGUGACUCUCCAAAUGUGGUAAAGGUUAUUUAUGUAAAAGAUCAUUGCAUUGUGCUUUGGCAUGCAAAAAGUUGCUUUCUCCCCAAGAUACAGAAACUCCCUCCAGUUAUAGAUCAAAACAGAAGGUGUCGACUGGGCUCUCAAACACCCAUUUCCAACAACUUCGGUUCAGAAAAUAAUGUUCUGACUUCAUGUUCCUCUGAGUGCCCUCCUCUGUUGGCUUCUCUGAGUCUCAGUGAUCUUUGCUUCUAUACUGUCCGAACACCUCUGCAUGGGGGUGGGGCAAGCUCAUCCAGUCUUGAGGGAGGGGAAGAGUAAGCAGCCUGUCACAGGGUGAGAAACUCUCCAUCAGACAGAACGUUCUCACAUGUGGAUUGUGAAUCUGUGGAUCCAGGCUCCUCCUUCUAGAUCCAGGGGGCCCACUGGUUUUCAGAGCCUCUUUUUGACUCCCACCUCCAGCAAACAUCCUCUAGGGCAGCCAAGCACAGCAGGAACCUGCCCCUAACAACCACCUGGGGUCAGUCAGUGGCUCUCAGGAGUGUGGGCUAUGCUGUUUAACUCCACUCCUGGCCUCAUUGGGGACAGCUUUGUU